UGGGGAAUUUUGGACAAUGGGCGCAAGCCUGAUCCAGCCAUGCCGCGUGAGUGAUGAAGGCCCUAGGGUUGUAAAGCUCUUUCACCGGUGAAGAUAAUGACGGUAACCGGAGAAGAAGCCUCGGCUAACUUCGUGCCAGCAGCCGCGGUAAUACGAAGGGGGCUAGCGUUGUUCGGAUUUACUGGGCGUAAAGCGCACGUAGGCGGACUAUUAAGUCAGGGGUGAAAUCCCGGGGCUCAACCCCGGAACUGCCUUUGAUACUGGUAGUCUAGAGUUCGAGAGAGGUGAGUGGAAUUCCGAGUGUAGAGGUGAAAUUCGUAGAUAUUCGGAGGAACACCAGUGGCGAAGGCGGCUCACUGGCUCGAUACUGACGCUGAGGUGCGAAAGCGUGGGGAGCAAACAGG
rnacentral:rRNA from 1 species